GUACACUCCUGCGGGAGGCAGCAGUGGGGAAUAUUGCACAAUGGGCGCAAGCCUGAUGCAGCCAUGCCGCGUGUAUGAAGAAGGCCUUCGGGUUGUAAAGUACUUUCAGCGGGGAGGAAGGCAAUACGGUUAAUAACCGUGUUGAUUGACGUUACCCGCAGAAGAAGCACCGGCUAACUCCGUGCCAGCAGCCGCGGUAAUACGGAGGGUGCAAGCGUUAAUCGGAAUUACUGGGCGUAAAGCGCACGCAGGCGGUCUGUCAAGUCGGAUGUGAAAUCCCCGGGCUCAACCUGGGAACUGCAUUCGAAACUGGCAGGCUUGAGUCUUGUAGAGGGGGGUAGAAUUCCAGGUGUAGCGGUGAAAUGCGUAGAGAUCUGGAGGAAUACCGGUGGCGAAGGCGGCCCCCUGGACAAAGACUGACGCUCAGGUGCGAAAGCGUGGGGAGCAAACAGGAUUAGAUACCCCAGUAGUCCCAUG
rnacentral:rRNA from 1 species